UACGUAGGGCGCAAGCGUUGUCCGGAAUUAUUGGGCGUAAAGAGCUCGUAGGCGGUGUGUCGCGUCUGCUGUGAAAACUCAGGGCUCAACUCUGAGCUUGCAGUGGGUACGGGCACACUAGAGUGCUGUAGGGGAGACUGGAAUUCCUGGUGUAGCGGUGAAAUGCGCAGGUAUCAGGAGGAACACCGGUGGCGAAGGCGGGUCUCUGGGCAGUUACUGACGCUGAGGAGCGAAAGCAUGGGGAGCGAACAGG
rnacentral:rRNA from 1 species